UGAACUGUAUGUCAGUGUCCUGCGGCUCAUAAUCAAACAGCUUCAUAUGUGGACGCAUCAGACUCUCUCAACUCUUGGACUGUGGACUUCAGCUCAAGAAUCAGAAUUUGCUGUGGCUGAUGAUCAUCUGUUGUGCUCUGUGUCAGAUAAGAACAGCCUGCUCAGAAAAACUGAUAAUCCAAGUCAAUUCAACAGAUCAGUGUUUCUGGAAGGAAAGUAGCUCAACAGUUCCAGGUAGAUGUGAAGUAUACUGCUAACAUGACUGUGUGAUACUGCAUAUUUAUUAUCUGAAUGCACUUGUGACGACUGACAAACUCACUGAGUUCAUUUCUGUUUUUCUCUCAGAUAUAAAACAGACAUGUCUAUCAUAUAAUAAUGACACUAAUUUUAACUUGAAUGUCACACUAAACAUCUCUUCUCUGGGUAAAACACGCUUAUAUUAUUUUAUUUAUAAAGCAUUCUUGAGUUCAAAGCUCUUUAAAAAGUAUUUAUGCACAAAUGUAAAUAUUCUC
rnacentral:lncRNA from 12 species